rnacentral:rRNA from 1 species
GACGAACGCUGGCGGCGUGCCUAAUACAUGCAAGUUGAGCGCUGAAGGUUGGUACUUGUACCAACUGGAUGAGCAGCGAACGGGUGAGUAACGCGUGGGGAAUCUGCCUUUGAGCGGGGGACAACAUUUGGAAACGAAUGCUAAUACCGCAUAAAAACUUUAAACACAAGUUUUAAGUUUGAAAGAUGCAAUUGCAUCACUCAAAGAUGAUCCCGCGUUGUAUUAGCUAGUUGGUGAGGUAAAGGCUCACCAAGGCGAUGAUACAUAGCCGACCUGAGAGGGUGGUCGGCCACAUUGGGACUGAGACACGGCCCAAACUCCUACGGGAGGCAGCAGUAGGGAAUCUUCGGCCAUGGACGGAAGUCUGACCGAGCAACGCCGCGUGAGUGAAGAAGGGUUUCGGAUCGUAAAACUCUGUUGGUAGAGAAGAACGUUGGUGAGAGUGGAAAGCUCAUCAAGUGACGGUAACUACCCAGAAAGGGACGGCUAACUACGUG